GAAGCCAUCUUGAUUUAUCUAGGGAGACAUUAUUGCGUAGUGCUGAAGAAAAUGGCAUUUCAUGUCUGAUAUGAGUUUAAAGCCAAGUACCAACACCCUAAUUGUUGUGUGGCAUUAAAAGUUGACUCUAAAUCCGUCCUGGAAUUUGGCACAUGUAUGGGAUAUGGAUAGAAAAUAAGAGCAAAGAGGAAUUCAAGAUAAUGAGGCAAUAUAAACAAAAGUUGAAAAGAGAAAAUGAGCAUGCAGUGCCUAGAGAUGCCAAGGAAUCCAGAUCACUGAGGUCGGAUAGAUGUGUCUUUCCAGAAUUUGAUGAGGUUAACCAGGUAGAGCCAGAUGGUAGAGAUCCUUGAAUACCAGGCAAGGGAGUUCAUCUCUCCACCUGUAAGCAUGAAGGAGCCACGGGAGAUUUUGCAAAGGGAAUGACCAAAACGAAAAUGGCAUUUAGGAAAUGAGUUUGCCAGAAGUACCUGGGAGAAAUGGGGACUAGGCACUGAGAAUGUAAUUCAUAGCACAGCAGAACAGAUACUAAAAGAUCGUUCUGGAAGCAGAAGGGCUGGUUUCCAGCUUUUCUGAGGUUGUUUCACUGUGGGUAACUGCUAAGGCCUUCACCCUUGAUGCCAGAGGUGCUGAAACACAUUGCCACACGGCGAAAGAAGUGCCCUAUUGGCCCAAACACAUUGAAUAAACAUCUACCUCAAACC
ensembl:lncRNA novel transcript